rnacentral:tRNA from 2 species
GUGGCUGUAGCUCAGUUGGUUAGAGCACCUGGUUGUGGUCCAGGGGGUCGGGGGUUCGAAUCCCCUCAGCCACC